UCACCAUGAGACUAGAUCUCACCAUGAGGCUGGGGAUCCCGCACAUCUGGGAGCAGAUGGGCUGUGCAAAGGGCACGGCUGCUGAGGACAGGGCUGUGGCUGGAGAACCCGCUGCUUCCUGAAGCCCAGCCCCACCCUAAAGGACCGAGAGCACACGCCAUGGGAAAGGAACCGAGCAGGGGUGCAGAGCCUGGUGGCACUGUGCUGAGAGAGGAGGAGGCUGGGCAGGGCCCCAGUGCUGGAGAGGUGCCCUGCAUAUGGGACCUCUCAGAGGUGCAGAAGAGCUGUGUGCCCAGGUACCCCGUCUCUUCUCCUUCUCCAUCCCCCAGCCUACUCUCCUAAUGGUCUGUGUCUUUCAGGGAUGAGAUUUACUGCCAGAUCUGCAAGCAGCUCUCGGAGAACUUCAAAACAAGCAGCCUGGCCCGGGGCUGGAUCCUGCUCAGCCUCUGCCUCGGCUGCUUCCCACCCUCAGAGAGGUUCAUGAAGUAUCUACUGAACUUCAUCGGCCAAGGGCCGGCGACCUAUGGCCCCUUCUGUGCCGAGCGCCUGAGACGCACCUAUGCCAACGGGGUGCGUGCGGAGCCCCCCACCUGGCUGGAGCUGCAGGCUGUCAAGUCCAAGAAGCGCAUCCCCAUCCAAGUCAUCUUGGCCACUGGAGAAAGCCUAACCGUCCCCGUGGACUCAGCCUCCACAUCUCGGGAAAUGUGCGUGCACAUCGCUCACAAGCAGGGCCUCAGCGACCACCUGGGCUUCUCCCUCCAGGUCGCUGUGUACGACAAGUUCUGGUCCCUGGGCAGCGGGCGCGACCACAUGAUGGAUGCCAUCGCCCAGUGUGAGCAGCUGGCCCAGGAGAGGGGCGAGAGCCAGCGCCAGUCACCCUGGCGCAUCUACUUCCGGAAGGAAUUCUUCACCCCCUGGCACGACUCCCGGGAGGACCCCGUCAGCACCGAGCUUAUUUACCGCCAAGUCCUCCACGGAGUCUGGUCUGGCGAGUACAGCUUCGAGAAGGAGGAAGAGCUGGUUGAGCUGCUGGCCCGGCACUGCUACGUGCAGCUCGGCGCCUCAGCGGAGAGCAAGGCUGUCCAGGAGCUGCUGCCCAGCUGCAUCCCCCACAAGCUGUACAGGACCAAGCCCCCAGACAGGUGGGCGAGCCUCGUCACUGCCGCCUGCACCAAGGCCCCAUACACUCAGAGGCAAGCCACACCACUGGCCGUGAGAGAGCAGGUGGUGGAUGCCGCCCGCCUGCAGUGGCCGCUGCUCUUCUCCCGGCUCUUUGAAGUCAUCACACUCUCAGGCCCCCGCCUGCCCAAGACGCAGCUGAUCUUGGCUGUUAACUGGAAGGGGCUUUGCUUCCUGGACCAGCGGGAGAAGAUGCUGCUGGAACUCUCUUUCCCAGAGGUCAUGGGUCUGGCCACCAACAGGGAGGCCCAGGGCGGGCAGAGGCUGCUGCUCUCCACAAUGCAUGAGGAGUACGAGUUUGUGUCGCCCAGCAGUGUGGCCAUCGCUGAGCUGGUGGCCCUGCUUCUGGAGGGCCUGAAGGAGAGGUCCGUGUUCGCCAUGGCCCUGCAGGACAGGAAGGCCACAGAUGAUGCCACCCUCCUGGCCUUCAAGAAGGGGGACCUGUUGGUUUUGACAAAGAAGCAGGGGCUGCUGGCCUCUGAGAACUGGACCCUCGGCCAGAACGACAGGACAGGCAAGACGGGGCUGGUGCCCACGGCCUGCCUCUACACCAUCCCCACGGUCACUAAGCCCUCGGCACAGCUGCUGAGCUUGCUUGCCAUGUCACCAGAGAAGAGGAAGCUGGCGGCUCAGGAGGGGCAGUUCGCAGAGCCACGUCCUGAGGACCCACCCAAGGAAAAGCUGCACACCCUGGAGGAGUUCUCCUAUGAGUUCUUCAGGGCUCCAGAGAAGGAUAUAGUGAGCAUGGCCGUGCUGCCCCUGGCCCGUGCCCGCGGCCACCUGUGGGCCUAUUCCUCCGAGCCGCUGCGACAGCCGCUGCUCAAGCGAGUCCACGCCAACGUCGACCUCUGGGACAUCGCCUGCCAGAUCUUUGUCGCCAUCCUCCGGUACAUGGGCGACUACCCUUCUCGGCAGGCCUGGCCCACCCUGGAGCUCACCGACCAGAUCUUCACGCUGGCCCUGCAGCACCCGGCCCUGCAGGACGAGGUCUACUGCCAGAUCCUGAAGCAGCUGACGCACAACUCCAACAGGCACAGCGAGGAGCGGGGCUGGCAGCUGCUGUGGCUGUGCACGGGCCUCUUCCCGCCCAGCAAGGGGCUGCUGCCCCACGCCCAGAAGUUUAUAGACACUCGGAGGGGGAAGCUGCUGGCCGCCGACUGCAGCCGUCGCAUCCAGAGGGUCCUGAGGACAGGGCCCCGGAAGCAGCCCCCGCACCAGGUGGAGGUGGAGGCCGCGGAGCAGAACGUCUCCCGCAUCUGCCACAAGGUCUACUUCCCCAACGACACCAGCGAGAUGCUGGAGGUGGUUGCCAACACACGGGUGCGGGAUGUGUGUGACAGCAUUGCCACCAGGCUGCAGCUGGCCUCCUGGGAAGGCUGCAGCCUCUUCAUCAAGAUUGCAGACAAGGUGGGCUGGGCUGGGGCUGGGCAGACGGCAGGCGGGAGGCCAGUAAGCGGGGCCCUAGGUGCUGCCUGUGGGGGCCUCAGCCUACCAGGGGCACCCAUGCUGGAUCAGGCUGCACGGCCAGGGCUGCCGAGACGGAGGUAGGUGGGGUCCUGGAGCAGAGCCAGUGCCACACGCCAAUAGCCCAUGCACAGCCGACUCCAGCGCAGCACCCAGGCCGCAGGUGGCCACUGGACCAGAGCCCAGCAGGGCCCUCUCAGGAGGACAGUCCCCGGAAGCCACCCAACUUCCCUGUACCUUCUCCUUCCCCAGGUCAUCAGCCAGAAGGAGGGAGACUUCUUCUUUGAUUCCUUGAGGCAGGUGUCUGACUGGGUAAAGAAGAACAAGCCCCAGAAAGAAGGUGAGGAGGCCUCUGUGGAGCUGGGGGAGGGCGUGGCUGGGUGGGGCGAGGGGGCACCGUCGGCCUCCGUGCGGCCCAUGCCCAUUCAUCCAUCCAUUCAUUCCUGUCUGUCCCUGGGUUGUGGGGACAACCAGGUCCUAGGGCUCGGUGGUGAGGGCCUCCCAGCUCAGGCAGGAAUAGGUGGCUGCACCGCAGAGUGAUGAAGGAUGCCCCGGGGCUGAGGGGCAUGACCCUCAUGGGCCGGGGGUGGGAGUCCAGGAACGUUCCUGGAGAAGGCAGCUUCUACACUAAUCUUGAAGGCUGAGGAAAACGUGGGGACUGGGGAGGAAGAAGGGUGGAGGCUUUCCAGGCAGGGAGGUGGCAGGCGUGGUGUGGGGGUGGCAGGGGGUCAGGGCUGGUGCACUUGCUGGGACAGGCUUGGUGCCCACUGCUGGCCCUCGCCCAGGGGCCCCCGUGACGCUCCCCUACCAGGUGUACUUCAUGCGGAAAUUGUGGCUCAACAUAUCCCCGGGGAAGGAUGUGAAUGCGGACACCAUACUCCAUUACCACCAGGUACCGGGCAGGCUGCCCUGGUGGGCACUGGGGCCACCCCCAUCCUCCCACACCUGUUCUGAGGCUGUAGAAGCCAGCAGGCCAGGGCAGGGCCAGCCUCAGCCCUGGGUACCAGCCCAUGUGGUAGGCAGACCAAGCCCCUGAGGGCUCUGGAACCAGGAGCAGAGGGCAGCAACGUCUGGGGACAGUGACUGCACUGGCACCUGCAGCAUGACUUGGAGAGGGUGGGACAGAGGGUCCUGUGGCCCGUGGAGCAGUGGCCGUGGCCUGCAGGGCCAACCACAUGGGUGGAGCAGGCCACCACCUCCACGCAGACGUCAGGGGGCCUGCAGGGCCAACCACGUGGGUGGAGCAGGCCACCACCUCCACGCAGACGUCAGGGGGCCCUGCCCUGACUCAGGGUCAUUCCCCUGGCCUGAAACUCUCUACCCUGCUCAGUCCGUCCUGGAUGGAGUGGGCUAAGCCCCAGUUCCCCACCAUCUGAGCGGGAAAGAGGUUGGGGGUGGGUGGGCCGCAGCCGGAGACCCAGCAUGCCCAGUGUGUCCACUACCCAGGAGCUGCCCAAGUACCUGCGCGGAUUCCACAAGUGUUCGCGGGAGGACGCCAUCCACCUGGCGGGCCUCAUCUACAAGGCCCAGUUCGACAAUGACCGGUCCCAGCUGGCUAGUGUCCCCAAGAUCCUGAGGGAACUGGUGCCCGAGAACCUCACACGCCUGAUGUCCUCGGAGGAGUGGAAAAAGAGCAUCCUUCUGGCCUAUGAUAAGCACAAGGACAAGACAGUGGAGGAGACCAAGGUGGCCUUCCUGAAGUGGAUCUGCCGGUGGCCCACCUUCGGGUCUGCCUUCUUCGAGGUGAAGCAAACCUCGGAGCCCUCCUACCCAGACAUCAUCCUCAUCGCCAUCAACCGACAUGGGGUUCUGCUCAUCCACCCCAAGACCAAGGACCUGCUCACCACCUAUCCCUUCACCAAGAUCUCCAGCUGGAGCAGCGGCAGCACCUACUUCCACAUAGCACUGGGGAGCCUGGGCCGUGGCAGCCGCCUGCUGUGCGAGACCUCCCUGGGCUACAAGAUGGACGACCUGCUGGCCUCAUACGUGCAGCAGCUCCUGAGUGCCAUGAACAAGCAGCGGGGCUCCAAGGCCCCAGCCCUGGCCAGCACCUAGCAGCGGACGCUGGCGUGUCUGCUCAGGCGCCCUUCCCGACCUCUAUCCUGGCGGCACCUUCCCAGGCCCUCUCAGCCCAGGGCCUGUCCUCGGCAGGCAGCCUUCCAUGCUGCCCCCAUACAAAGCCCACUCAGCCCCGCAGGCGGCCCCCUCUGUCCUGGACGCUGCCCCGGGAGGCCCAAAGACGGGCCCAGAGUGGGGUCGGGAGUCUCGGACCCCCAGGCUGUUGGUGGAUGGCUGAGAGGACACCUCCCAACCCCACCCCACCAGAAUGUUCAAUAAAAACCCCUGGAGCAGGAGAA
rnacentral:sRNA from 1 species